UUAUGGAUGGUUUGAAAGCUAAAAGUUUAACCCUUUCGUUGCCAACCCGGCCAAAACAGGCUCUGGUUCUAUAGUUCAAAUGUCUUGUUUUCAUAAGUUUUGAAUUAAAAUCUUCCACCAAACCUUAGUCACAGUUUAUGUUCCUAACACUAGCUGAAUGAUAACUAAGUUAUUUUACUAAAUUCUUUGUUAUAUUU